rnacentral:lncRNA from 1 species
AUUUCUGUCCCUGAUCUUCACUAGGUGAGUAACAAGAUCCUGAAGUCAACCAGGAACUGGUUGAUAUAAUGAGGCACGUGAAAGAUGCAGAAGACACAGCUUCUCUCAGAAGUUUUUUUGGGCAACAAGGUGAAACCCCUUUGAUGGUCUUCAGAAAAAAUGAAAGUAAGAUUUUAACCUGACAAACCCCUCAAGCCAAAUGAUCAAGGUGUUUUGUAGUAUAAAGUGUUCGCUGUAAUUUCCAGCAAGGCAAGGGACUGCAGAUGACGCAGCAGUCUCACCAUCAGGCUCAAGCCAAGCCAGACACUGAAGAACCAAGGAACAAGAAAUGUUUGUUUUGAGGGAGCAGGGGAAAAAAAAGAAGAGCCGUGCAUUACCUCAUAACACCCAAAAUUAUGUAACUUCUCCACAGGAUAAGAUCCGAUCCUACAGUAAAUAGAAAGGUGCCACUUAUUCAUCUGAAGAAGCAAAAGGAAAUGCUUUCAACCCAGAUCCCAGACACAGAGAGGAGCCCAGGUUUAAAAGCUCCUCCCUGCCAAGGACAGAGUGCCACUCAACUCCAUCUUUGCCCAUAAGUCUCCCUGGGGGACGUCUGGCAAUAGCUAGAGACAUUUGGGGAUGUCAAAACUAGGAAGGACGCUACUGCAUCAGGAAAAGAAGCAAGGGAAGAGUGAAAACACUGGCUUGGAAUGAGCUCUGAUCAUGUCUACUCUCUCCUACUCCUACUUUUUCUUGGAGCUACAAAGAUAAAUUGUUUGAGUCUUUAGGAGAGCCUAACUCCUUAUUCAAGUAUUUCCUUGCUCCUGGAUGUGGAAAAAUUGCUUAAAUAAAAACUACUCAAAAGAAA